AUCAUCACAAUAAUCCACAAAAUCUUGUACAGUGUGCCAGAAAAUGACGCUGUAGAAAUUGCUGGAACUGUUCUCUGUUGGCAGAGCCCUGAAUUGCCAUGUUUCAGAUCAGACUGCCUGCUGUUGAACGGUCGGAGAGCUUGGGUCAUUUUCCAAUCAAUCCUGACCCCCUCCUCCAGCACAUCUCAGUAUGGACAUCUGCGCUCCCCUCCGGACUGUUCGAGCAUCCUGGUGCCUCCGCAGCAUACUAACACCUUCCUGCUUUCUCAUCCAACAACCUCGUCAAGAGCUCUCAUGGCCAUCAGCAGAAAACUGUAUGACUUCUGCCUCUCAAACCUGCUCCCUCAAAGUGGGAUGGAAAUUCAAGUCUCUAUUCUUGUGAAAUAUGUGUACUUCAGUUGAUUGCAACAUUUGUUCUUAACACAAGACUUUGCUAGCUUUUAUUCAUUUAUGUUGUUUUGCAGUUUUAUAUGAAUCUCCUUAUUAUAUCCCAAAUUAACACCUAAUCUCAUACAUGCAUUUAUCUUAACUGACACAGUAGAGUCUUUAAAUAAAGAAGUCAUAUUUGAUACAUGAAGACUUCUUAAUUAUAGAUGAUGUAAACUUUGCUGAAAAAAAAGCAUUUAAUGUUUGUUUUACUGGUAUAAAGAUCGCAUUGAUUUACAUUACAAGCUAUUACUAAAAUUACAUAUUGUAAGGUUUUAUUGUUGUUGGUAUUAUUAUUUUAUAUACUUAUAUUAGUAUAUAUAAAUAUUAUUAAUUUAUAAUAGUAAAGAUAAUAGGUUAAUUAAUCUAUUUUUAUUUAAUUCAGUUUAAUUAGCUAUAUUAUUUCAUUUAUAUAUUUAUCUAUAUAAAAUGCCAUAUACUAAUAGAAAACGUUAAAAACAUAUAUUACUAGGUAUGGCUCAGUAGGUUCGUGAAAACUUGGUUUAAAUUAUUAACAUUAUAAAGUCUAUUGUCUGUGAAUGUGUUAUUUAUAAUAAAAAUUCAAUAAUUUAGCUGACCCUCCUGUUGUGUUUUUUUUUUUUUUUUUAGCACGGUACUAGUUUUUUGUUGGGGUCAAACUGAUUGCUUCCAUACAAUUGGUCAAAAAUCAUAACUAUGAACAUCAACAACAAAAUCCCCUUAAGAUUCAUGUAAAAACCAAACAGAAAACCUCUAUCAUAGCUGUCAGUCAGAGACCAAGAACUGACUGCAUUACUACUUGUUGUGACCAUUUGUACACCAAUUUAUUGCUAUCUUCCUCUACCUUUGUGUGUGUGUGUGUGUGUGUGUGUGUCUGCCUCUCCAACCUUUGUGAGGGAUAAAUGGGUUUCUCGCUUCUUUUCAGAAGUGCAGCAGACUAAUUGAGGUACUAAAAACAACCUUUCUUUGACCUUUAUUUAAAUUUCAUUUCAAUUUGCAUGGAAACCAAAAAGGGCCAAUGGAGGGGCCAAUUUGAGCUUAACAUAAAAAGAACUUGUACAACCUUUCCAAAACACAUUUAUGUGUUGAGACGUAGGCCUAUUUAUAACCAUAAAUGAGAAAUGUUCAAAGAAAAAUAAUAUGACCAUUAUUUUGAGCAAUUUGAAAAUUGAGCUGACCCCAACAAAACUAGGGGGUUAACUAACACAAUGCAUUUUAUAUUAUUUAUUUCAUAUAAUAUUCUCUAUUUAUAUUCAUUUAUACAAAUAUAUGUAAUGUACCCAAUGUGCCCA
ensembl:lncRNA